UCGUGAGACAACAUCCACGAGGACGUAACUCGAUCAACUCGAUUACCCUAGAGACAACUUCCACGAGGACGUAACUCGAUCAACUCGAUUACCCCAAAGACAACUCCCACGAGGAGAUUACUUGAUCCGUGCUACUACAUUAUCGCGAGACAACUCCCACGAGGAGAUAACUCGAUCAACACUAUUACCCCGCGACAAGACAACUCCCACGAGGAGAUAAUUCGCUACUACAUCGUCGCGGGACAAAACCGACGACUCAAUUAACUUUCAUCGCGACAACCUUGUCGCGCUAUGCGCCAACGCGCAUUCACGCCCCUCCGACAUACGCUCCAACGCGUUUUCGCAUACCAUUAGGCCAUACGCCAAUGAUCGACUUCUACAAUUUUUACUCUCGACACGAUUUGAGACCCAUCACAACAUGGCCCCCACAUCGACUCGAGAGUGGGGGGCUUAAUGAUAUGCC
rnacentral:lncRNA from 1 species